CCCUUAGAUGUUCUGGGCUGCACGCGCGCUACACUGUCGGAUUCAGCGAGUCAUAUCCUUAACCGAAAGGUGUGGGUAAUCUUUUGAAAGUCCGACGUGAUGGGGAUUGAUCAUUGCAAUUAUUGAUCAUGAACGAGGAAUUCCUAGUAAGCGCGAGUCAUCAGCUCGCGUUGAUUACGUCCCUGCCCUUUGUACACACCGCCCGUCGCUACUACCGAUUGAAUGGUUUAGUGAGAUCUUCGGAUUGGCGCCUACGCGGCUUCUCUGAGGCCACGCUGGAUGCCGAAAAGUUGCUCAAACUGUAUCAUUUAGAGGAAGUAAAAGUCGUAACA
rnacentral:rRNA from 1 species